UAAAGGAAGAGUUUUAGCAGCCUUGGGGGUAAAUCUGUCAAUCAACAAAUAAAUUUAAAGGCAAUGAAGCUUGACCAUGGAUAUUUUGGUAAAAAUCUCUUUUAUUUCACUUGGAUUGAUUCUCAGCCAUUGAUUCACAAUAAGUUAUUAUUUAUGGAUCAAAUCUUGGCCAUCCAAAUCCUCUAGCAAUCUCCUUCUUUAAAAGAAUCAUAUUAUUUUUUAAAUAUGCAAUCAGAUGCCAUACGUUUCCCUUGCGUUUCAUCCGUUCAUCAUGCUGCCCAUCGUCUUUGUCAUCGACUCUCUAAAAUCCCUAACCGUGCGUUUCUAUUUUGGAGCCGCUUCGUCUCUAGCUUUUAUUCUUCCUUGAUGUUACUCUCAAAGUCUCUAAAAUAAAGUUCUCGCUGAAUCACGCUUCAGCCCUUCCCCAUGUUCGUCGAGCUUGCUCUUGCUGCCAACGGAGAAGCAGUGAACAACGACGGCUUGAAGGAGAAACCCAAUCGACCACAUUCAUAACAAAUCGCGAGUUGGAUUCUCCUUUUUUCAUCUGUUUUCAUUCUUCUAGGGCUUUUAAUCGCGUGCACGGCUUAACAUUAUUUUCUUCUUGGCAGAUUCGCGGCUUCACUAAUCUAUUGAGCUUUCCAUAUAACAGAUCCAAAGCAUAAAACAGCAAACCAAGGAAGGACAAAGGCUAUGGAGUAGAAUCUGUAUCAAAUUCAAUGAGAUACGACAUACCGAAGCCACGAGGUUCAGAAUUGCCAUUGUGGUAGCCUUUGAACUCUGGAUCACUUUCAGUACCCCAAUUGCAGUACAUUAGGCCCAUCCCAAUUGUGUAAGUGAACAAAUUAACUUUUCAAAAUGAUUGCUAUAGAUGUGGAUUGCAUGAACCCAGCUCAUGACGCGUAAUGCUGACAUUUUGGCCACUAUAUGUGAAAAUUUAGCAUCACUUACCAACACCAUGUGUAUAUCAGUAUAUUACUAUUAUAUAUACACAUCAUGGCCUCCAUGAUUAUAAUUACAAGUACUCAAAUCAUUUAUUGCAAAAAAGAGGAACAACGCAUUGUUAAAGGAAAGUUAUAUUUUAGUUCAAGGUCUUAAUUUCCAUUAUUAUACCAUAGUUAAAGAUUAGUUAAGUCUACCCUGCCGAAUUAAGAAAUCAUCAAUGUUUUUUUUUAUGAUGAUUAUGAUAUCGAAGACUGCUCCCAUGGUUAUGAUAUCGCAUUAUGCUUGAAAGUUUUCAACUUUCAUUUUCUACUGCACAAGAGGAAAAUGAUUGAAGGGAACAAACUCAUGCUUUUGUGUUCAUUGCUUUCACGCUUAGUGACCUCCAAGGCACUAGGAUCCAAAUAAAUUCAAUAUGUUACCAAGAAGAAGCAAAGUGCAGGUUGUGCCAAGAAGAAGUCAAUGGUGGAGCACACACAAGAGGAUCAUGAAGCUCACUCAUGGGAACAUCAAAUACAGUACCAAGUCAAGAGCCUAGAGAAUGUGCAAUUGCAUGUGUUCAGUGAAGCUCCAUCCUCAAGUUCAUCUUCAUCUUCCUGCCACAGUCCUAUUCUUGCCAAAUUUCUCAGAUUCAAAUUACAAGCUGAGAUGAUGAAGGGUCUCAAACAGUCCUCUUUGUGACAGGAGAAUGUGAAAUCAAGCUAGCAUUAAUUUUAAAGUGAUCAAUGUUUAUGAUAUGAAUACGUUUCAUCUAUCAAGUUUCAUGGCCACCUGUUAUGCUAUAGAGAUGAAUUGACAUUGGUGAAUGCCAUAUGUUACAUUAUCACAUACUAUUUUUUAUUAGGGCUUAUUUUAUAUGUAAUAAUCUAUUUCCUCUUACAUAUAUGUAAUACCUAUCAUUAAUUAAUUAUUUGUUCCUAAUUACCUA